AAAUCAAGCUCUUUCAAAUCCCAAAAGCCGUAACUGCAUGUCUCUAAUGCUCUCUCUCUCUCUCUCUCUCUCUCCCUCUCUCUCUCUGCACUUACACGCAUGUGUAGCUUCUCUUCUCAAUGAACCUCUGCGUGCGAGCUUCUAAAGCUUUAGCCUCUACCAUUAUCUCCACUGCUUCGCACCCAUUUGCUCUUAAGGUACGUCUCCUCUUGCCCUUAUUUUCUUGCUUUCAUGACUGCCCCACUAGCUCCAGCAUAGCUACGAACUCUGAAACCCAUUACAGAGACCUUAUUUUUUAUACCAUUGAAGAAAAUCCAUGGGCCUUUUGUAACAAUAAGUGGGUCUCUGAUCAAUUCCGACCUGUGCUUAUUGACCCCGAGUUGUUUAUCCGUGUCCUUAGUUCGAUUCAGAUUAAACCCAGAAUUGCUUUGCGGUUCUUCCGAUGGGCUGAGUGUCAACCGGACUUUCAGCGGUCUGAGUUUGCGUUUUGCGUGAUUCUCGAAAUCCUUGUCAAGAAUAAUUUGAUGAGGCCGGCGUAUUGGGUGGUGGAGAGGGUAAUUAGUUUAAAAAUGGAGGGAAUUGUGGAUGUUUUGGUCGAUGGGUAUGUUGUUCCCAAGGUUUCAGUUAAGCUUCUCGAUCUUUUGUUAUGGGUGUAUACAAAAAAGUCGAUGAUCGAGCGAUGCUUGUUCGUUUUUAAUAAGAUGAUAAUAAAUGGGUUGUUACCGGAUGUGAAAAAUUGUAAUAGGAUGCUUAGGAUAUUUAGAGAUAGAGAUCUUGUAACUAAAGCUAGAGAGGUUUAUAGAAUGAUGGAUGAGUGCGGGAUUAAGCCAACGAUUGUUACUUAUAACACUUUGGUGGAUGCCUAUUGCAAGGAAGGGGAAUUGCAGCAAGCUCUCGAGCUUUUAUAUGAGAUGCAAAGAAGGGGGUGUUUUCCUAAUGAUGUGACGUAUAAUGUGUUGAUCAAUGGGUUGUCAAAGAAAGGGGAGUUGGAGCAGGCCAAGGGGCUGAUUGGGCAGAUGUUGAAGUUGGGAUUGGAAGUUUCAGCAUACACGUAUAACCCUUUAAUUCAUGGGUAUUGCAAGAAAGGAUUGCUUGUUGAGGCAGCAGGUCUUGAGAAAGAGAUGAUAAUUAAAAGAGCUAGCCCUACUGUGGCAACUUAUAAUACGUUAAUGUAUGGCCUUUGCAUGUUGGGAAGAAUGGCUGAUGCUAGACAUCGGUUUUCUGACAUGUUAAAGAAGACUGUGAUGCCAGAUGUAAUUUCAUAUAACACUCUAAUAUACGGGUAUUGUAGGCUGGGGAACAUCAAGGAAGCUUUUCUAUUGUUUGGGGAGUUACAAUAUAGGAAUCUUGUUCCUACUGUUGUUACCUAUAAUACUCUUAUAGAUGGCCUUUGUAGGUUGGGGGACUUGGAUGUUGCUCUGCAGCUCAAAAAGGAAAUGAUCAACCAAGGGAUUUCUGCUGAUGUUUUUACUUAUACGAUUCUAGUAAAUGGGUCUUGCAAGAGAGGAAAUUUGUCAAUGGCUAAGGAAUUCUUUGAGGAAAUGUUGCAAGAAGGGUUGGAACCAGAUCGCUUUGCAUACACAACUCGGAUAGUGGGUGAAUUGAAGCUUGGUGACACAUCCAGGGCAUUCAGAUUGCAAGAAGAGAUGCAAGCUAGGAAUAUUCCACCUGAUUUGAUCACAUACAACGUUUUUGUAAAUGGGCUAUGUAAGUCAGGAAAUUUAGAAGAAGCAACUAACUUGAUGCAGAAAAUGGUUCGUGAUGGUCUUGUUCCCGAUCAUGUUACAUGUACUAGCAUCAUUCAUGCUCAUCUGGAAAAUGGACAUCUUAGGAAAGCCAAAGAGGUAUUCUAUGAGAUGCUGAGCAAGGGUGUAAACCCUUCAGUUGUGACUUACACAAUAUUGAUUCAUGCGCAUGCCAGUAAGGGGAGGCUAGAACUGGCAUUGAUGUAUUUUUUGGAGAUGCAAGAGAAGGGUGUUUUUCCAAAUGUCAUCACCUACAAUGCUCUCAUAAAUGGUCUUGGCAAAGUUAGGAGAAUGGAUCAUGCAUACAAAUUUUUUGCGGAGAUGGAAGAAAAAGGAAUACUUCCAAAUAAGUAUACAUACACUAUUUUAAUCAACGAAAACUGCAAUAUGGGUAAUUGGCAGGAAGCUUUGAGAUUGUAUGCACAGAUGCUAGAUAGAAAAAUUCAGCCCGAUCCUUGUACACACAGUGCACUUCUAAAACAUCUAGACGAAGACUACAGAUUGCAUGCAGUUCAGUACCUUGAGAGCUUAAUUCUAGGUAGCGAAAAAACUUCUGAGGUAAGGACUUGAUAUAUCCAUUAUGGCAUUCUGGUUAACUAUGGUGAUUGGUGAGAGAGUACCAUAUAUUUACUCAGGUGGAUUUGUACCAUCUAAAUGAAGGUUGUCACAGCGACCAUAAGAAGGGAGCAGCUGAUGGGUGAAUUUUGUAAUUUAAAAAGCCCAAAGUCAAAUAUUUCAGUUUUCAUCUGUUUCUAGUUGUAACUGAGCAGCGCCUUAACCAUUCCUUGGAUGAGAAUCCCUAAUUGUAUAGCAGAGGCAUAAUUUUGCUUCAAAGAGUCAACGACUGCCAGAGAAAAUUCACACUGUAUCAAGUUGUUUCAAAAUCAAAUUUGCCAUAAUGCAUUUAGAGGAGGAAUGGGGUAUUGCCUUCUAUCUGAAUGAUUGUAAUUUAUGUUAUUUGCAGCCCCGGAAAAGGAUUUUGAUGUAUUGUACAUUAUUUUCUCCAGAGUUGCAAUUAAUUACUGUAGUGAAAUUGGUUUAGUUUUUGAUCAGUGGUCCCAUGGCAACUUCUACUUCCGUAGAUGAAAACCUUUUGAGAGAAAAAGCAUCCCCUGUGGUGAGAUUAUAGGAAAAAGAAUGUAAUCUUCUUUGUACAAUAGUUUUAUGUAAUAAACCAAGUUCUAGAGUUGAAGGUUCUA